GCAGUGAGCCGAGACCGAGCCACUGCACUCCAAGCCUGCGCAACAGAGCAAGACUCCGUCUCAAAAAAAAAAAAAAAGAGAGUUUAGAGCUUCCAUCAUGGACAAGUUGGCUCCUACAUUUUGCCAAAACACAAAGAAUCUGUCUGUCCCCCGAGGUGGAUUUUGAGCCCCCAGUCCUUUGAGUCGCCACCUGCUGUACUGUCAGCCCACACCCAUAAAAGGAAAAACUGCUUUGGGCGGGGGAGGCCUCAGAAGGGUGGUCAGAAAAGACGACGACGGCUGCAGGAUUCACUGCUCGACACUAGGGGGAGCAAUAAGCUCGGGAACACGUUAAAGCCACACCCAGAAAUCUCGUUUCCGGGUUCCCGAAUCUCCCCAGAUAGAGCAGAGAGAGAAGCAGCAAGAGGAUAUUUAAGGACUGCCCAGAAAAGCCUUUGUGGGAACACAUGAUGGGAGAAAAUGCAGAGGAUCAAAGGGGCAGUGGAGGGCGUACCUUCCCUCGGCUUCAGCCUGGUCCCGGGCUGCAGAGUCCUCUUUAACGUUGACCUCCUCAUCAGCCCCAGGGAGAAGGGGCGGGGGCGGAAAGAGUGAGGAAAAGGAGACGGUGAAGACAAGCCAGAAGAAAUAAAGCAUUAGUUUUCAUCACUUUCCCCAUUCACUUCAACUUAUGCAUCUAGCUCACGCCGCACUCAGCAUCUUGGUAAGUCCCAGCUCAGUGGGUCACAGCUAGAAGGAGACUUUUGGAGCCCCAGAUGUUUAGCUGGAGUCUGGGACUCAGAGAAGAGGAAGAGCUUGAGCAAGGUCUCCAAGGUCGUUUAUACUUUGGAUACUGACAACCACCUGGUCUGGUAGACAGAGACUAUUAACUCAUUUAACAAAUGAAGAAACAAGUUCAGUCCAGGCCGAGCGCGGUGGCUCACGCCUAGAAUCUCAAGGGAGAUUGGGAGGCCGAGGCAGGUAGGUCAUUUGAGGUCAGAAGUUCAAGACCAGCCUGGCCAACAUGAUGAAACCCCAUGUCUACUAAAAAUACAAAAAUAAGCCCGACGGUAAUGGCGGGCGCCUGUAAUCCCAGCUACUUGUGAGGCUGAGGCCGGAGAACAGCUUGAGCCUGGGAGGCAGAAGUUGCCGUGAACAGAGAUUGGACCACUGCACUCCGGGAGAUCCGGCCACUGCACUACAGUCUGGGCGAGGGUGAGACCCUGUCUCAAUACAUAUUUUAAUUAAAUAAAAUAAAAUUGUCCAAACUA